AUACGGAGGGUGCAAGCGUUGUUCGGAAUCACUGGGCGUAAAGGGCGCGCAGGCGGCUUGAUAAGUUGGAUGUGAAAGCCUACGGCUCAACCGUAGAACUGCAUCCAAAACUGUCAAGCUAGGGUCUGGGAGGGGAAGAUGGAAUUAGUUGUGUAGGGGUAAAAUCCGUAGAGAUAACUAGGAAUACCAAAAGCGAAGGCGAUCUUCUGGAACAGUACUGACGCUGAGGCGCGAAAGCGUGGGGAGCAAACAGGAUUAGAAACCCCGGUAGUCC
rnacentral:rRNA from 1 species